UACGUAGGGUGCAAGCGUUAAUCGGAAUUACUGGGCGUAAAGCGUGCGCAGGCGGCUAUGCAAGACAGAUGUGAAAUCCCCGGGCUCAACCUGGGAACUGCAUUUGUGACUGCAUGGCUGGAGUACGGCAGAGGGGGAUGGAAUUCCGCGUGUAGCAGUGAAAUGCGUAGAUAUGCGGAGGAACACCGAUGGCGAAGGCAAUCCCCUGGGCCUGUACUGACGCUCAUGCACGAAAGCGUGGGGAGCGAACAGG
rnacentral:rRNA from 1 species